rnacentral:rRNA from 1 species
CAGCCGCCGCGGGAAUACGGAGGGUGCAAGCGUUAAUCGGAAUUACUGGGCGUAAAGCGCACGCAGGCGGUUUGUUAAGUCAGAUGUGAAAUCCCCGAGCUUAACUUGGGAACUGCAUUUGAAACUGGCAAGCUAGAGUCUUGUAGAGGUGGGUAGAAUUCCAGGUGUAGCGGUGAAAUGCGUAGAGAUCUGGAGGAAUACCGGUGGCGAAGGCGGCCCCCUGGACAAAGACUGACGCUCAGGUGCGAAAGCGUGGGGAGCAAACAGGAUUAGAUACCCCUGUAGUCCCUGUCUCUUAUAC